rnacentral:tRNA from 1 species
GCCUCUAUAGCUCAACCUGGCAGAGCGUCGGUUUUGUAAACCGAAGGUUGCAGGUUCAACUUAACGCAAAGCAAAGCUUUGCGGACUUUGCUGAUGCAAAGUGAAGCGAAAAAUUCGCUCAUGAAAAUCCUGCUGGAGGCA